CCCUGGUUAGGCUCAGUUGGUAGAGCGCUCCACUGGAAAUUUAGAGGUCCACGGUUCGAUCCCCGGACUAGGUG
rnacentral:tRNA from 1 species